rnacentral:rRNA from 1 species
UACAGAGGGUGCAAGCGUUGUUCGGAAUCAUUGGCGUAAAGCGCGCGCAGGCGGGCGUGCAAGUCGGAGUGAAAUUCCGGGGCUCAACCCCGGCGCUGCUCCCGAAACUGCAGGUCUAGAGACCGGUAGAGGCCGGUGGAAUUCCCGGUGUAGCGGUGGAAUGCGUAGAGAUCGGGAAGAACACCCGUGGCGAAGGCGGCCGGCUGGGCCGGUCUGACGCUGAGGCGCGAAAGCGUGGGGAGCAAACAGGAUGAGAAACCCGGG